rnacentral:rRNA from 1 species
CUACGUGCCAGCAGCCGCGGUAAUACGUAGGGCGCGAGCGUUGUCCGGAAUUAUUGGGCGUAAAGGGCUUGUAGGCGGUUGGUCGCGUCUGCCGUGAAAUUCUCUGGCUUAACUGGGGGCGUGCGGUGGGUACGGGCUGACUUGAGUGCGGUAGGGGAGACUGGAACUCCUGGUGUAGCGGUGGAAUGCGCAGAUAUCAGGAAGAACACCGGUGGCGAAGGCGGGUCUCUGGGCCGUUACUGACGCUGAGGAGCGAAAGCGUGGGGAGCGAACAGGAUUAGAUACCCUGGUAGUCCACGCUGUAAACGUUGGGCACUAGGUGUGGGGGCCACCCGUGGUUUGUGCGCCGUAGCUAACGCUUUAAGUGCCCCGCCUGGGGAGUACGGCCGCAAGGCUAAAACUCAAAGGAAUUGACGGGGGCCCGCAMCAAGCGGCGGAGCAUGCGGAUUAAUUCGAUGCAACGCGAAGAACCUUACCUGGUCUUGACAU